AUUGAACGCUGGCGGCAGGCCUAACACAUGCAAGUCGAACGGUAACAGGAAGCAGCUUGCUGCUUUGCUGACGAGUGGCGGACGGGUGAGUAAUGUCUGGGAAACUGCCCGAUGGAGGGGGAUAACUACUGGAAACGGUAGCUAAUACCGCAUAACGUCGCAAGACCAAAGAGGGGGACCUUAGGGCCUCUUGCCAUCGGCUGUGCCCAGAUGGGAUUAGCUAGUAGGUGGGGUAACGGCUCACCUAGGCGACGAUCCCUAGCUGGUCUGAGAGGAUGAACAGCCACACUGGAACUGAGACACGGUCCAGACUCCUACGGGAGGCAGCAGUGGGGAAUAUUGCGCAAUGGGCGCAAGCCUGAUGCAGCCAUGCCGCGUGUAUGAAGAAGGCCUUCGGGUUGUAAAGUACUUUCAGCGGGGAGGAAGGGAGUAAAGUUAAUACCUUUGCUCAUUGACGUUACCCGCAGAAGAAGCACCGGCUAACUCCGUG
rnacentral:rRNA from 1 species